ACCUGCGGAAGGUCAUUACCGAAUUGUCAACACGAGUUGUUGCUGGUCCUCAAACGGGGGCAUGUGCACGCUCUGUUCACACAUCCACUCACACCUGUGCACCCUCUGUAGUUCUGUGGCCUGGGGGUCUCUGCCCUCUUGCUGUGGUUCUAUGUCUUUACACACACACCGUACCAAAGUCUCAUGGAAUGCACAUCGCGUUUAACGCAAUACAAUACAACUUUCAGCAACGGAUCUCUUGGCUCUCGCAUCGAUGAAGAACGCAGCGAAAUGCGAUAAGUAAUGUGAAUUGCAGAAUUCAGUGAAUCAUCGAAUCUUUGAACGCACCUUGCGCCCUUUGGCUAUUCCGAAGGGCAUGCCUGUUUGAGUAUCAUGAACACCUCAACUCUCAUGGCUUGCCAUGAUGAGCUUGGACUUUGGAGGUCUUGCUGGCCAGCGGUCGGCUCCUCUCAAAUGAAUCAGCUUGCCAGUGUUUGGCGGCGCCACAGGUGUGAUAACUAUCUACGCUUGUGGUUUCCCGCCAGGUUUCCUUCAGUGAUGGAGGUUCGCUGGAGCUCAUAAAUGUCCCUCCCCAGUGAGGACAACUUCAUGAAUGUUUGAUCUCAAAUCAGGUAGGACUACCCGCUGAACUUAAGCA
rnacentral:rRNA from 1 species